GAUGAACGCUGGCGGCGUGCCUAAUACAUGCAAGUCGAGCGAACAGACGAGGAGCUUGCUCCUCUGACGUUAGCGGCGGACGGGUGAGUAACACGUGGAUAACCUACCUAUAAGACUGGGAUAACUUUGGGAAACCGGAGCUAAUACCGGAUAAUAUAUUGAACCGCAUGGUUCAAUAGUGAAAGACGGUUUUGCUGUCACUUAUAGAUGGAUCCGCGCCGCAUUAGCUAGUUGGUAAGGUAACGGCUUACCAAGGCGACGAUGCGUAGCCGACCUGAGAGGGUGAUCGGCCACACUGGAACUGAGACACGGUCCAGACCCCUACGGGAGGCAGCAGUAGGGAAUCUUCCGCAAUGGGCGAAAGCCUGACGGAGCAACGCCGCGUGAGUGAUGAAGGUCUUCGGAUCGUAAAACUCUGUUAUUAGGGAAGAACAAAUGUGUAAGUAACUAUGCACGUCUUGACGGUACCUAAUCAGAAAGCCACGGCUAACUACGUG
rnacentral:rRNA from 1 species